CGGUGCAAGGAAGUGUCGGUCUUUUGCUGUUCCUGCUUGGUUUGUCGAAUCGUUGAAGCAUUGUGGAUGCGAAGAUUGGUAAUAGAUGGGUUGUGUAUGAAGAUAAAUGGGUGAAGGUCUCAGAUCGGUGCCAGUUAGUGAUUAUGAACAAUUGAAGAGUAUGAAGAUGACGAAAUUUGCUGUAGGUCUUGUCUAAUUGUUGGAGGAAGAUGAUGAGUGACUCAUAUAUGGUUUACGGUGAUGAUAUGAAAGUGGGUGAUGGAAGUGUCUGUACGAUGUUAAAAAAAAUAAGGAUUUCUUUGAGAAAAAGUGAGGAGUUGGUUGCUGGUGUUAUUUGUGAGGUUGUUUGUUGAUGCUGAAUGAUGAGAUAAUUGGGAAGGUCAAAACGUGAGGUUGUUGGGAAGAAAAUCAUGGUCAAAGGUUAGGUUUGGGGAGGUGUUUUGUACGUGAAAGGUGUUAGGAAAAAUAAGGGUUCAUUCCUCGUCCCUGUAAACGUGGAAGUGAGUGACUAUUUAUAAGAUACAAAAUUAGGUUAAAA